rnacentral:tRNA from 1 species
GGGGGAUUAGCUCAGUUGGCUAGAGCAUCUGCUUUGCAAGCAGAGGGUCAAGGGUUCGACUCCCUUAUCCUCCA